GAUUAAAAAGAGACCUGAUACGAUUCCUGUAUCAGGUCUAGGGUAAUGGCUCUUGGGAGAGAGCCGUGCGCUAAAAGUUGGCAUUAAUGCAGGCUUGGAUUGCCUUGCUAUUUAAGAGUAGUCGACGGUAUUUUUUUUGCCAGUUU
rfam:Hafnia alvei FB1, complete genome.